ACAAUUAAUAGAUAGUCGCGAGCUUUUAAAUUAAUUAAUGCGCAAAAUUAUCAACUUUUAAUUUUAGGAAAUACUUAUACGACAUUAUCCAUAUUCGAUUUUGGCGAUCAAUAGUUUAUACAAGAUAUUAGAUAAGAAAUUAGUAUGGAAAUGUUUUAGUUAGCAGAGCGAAGCAGCACCAAUACAAUAAAAUUUUGAAAGUCCUACCAACUGGUUGCUGCAUAUUUGGUGUGAUAGCUCGGAGAAAAUCAUCAGGUGUCAUAUAGAUUUCAAUACCUUCUAAAUUAAUUACUUUCACAGUCGCGAAG